AUAGUAUUGAAAAAUUUAUGUGUACUCAUAGGUUGUCUUUAUAAAUGUUCUAAAAUAUGAGCAGAUUAUAUAAAGUUACAUGAUUUUUGUUUAGCUGUAAAAGAAGAGAUUGAGAGAGUAUAAUCUGCCAAGACUUGGAAAACCGGAGAAUGAAGAUACAUACACAGAUCUGAAAAGAGUCAGCAAGACUGAAGAGCAUUCUAACAGGAAAGCAGUGGAGAAGGUGCUCAAAGGAAGACACAGG
rnacentral:lncRNA from 1 species